rnacentral:lncRNA from 1 species
GUUCCUAUUCGUCGGCCGACUGCUGUCGUCGGCAAUGUCGUGAUGGAGCACCACCCAGCUGCCACCACCCUUGGUUGCCGUUGGCCUCUUUGUUGAUGAGACAGAGACGGAGGGAACAAGGGGAUUGUCCCGUGUUUUGGAAGAAAAGUUUUUUAAGGGGGUAAAAGAGAGUCAUGCCUCUCUCUUUUUUUUCUCUCUUCACUCAACUUUUUUUUAUUAGACA